rnacentral:rRNA from 1 species
CAGCAGCCGCGGGAAUACGUAGGUGGCAAGCGUUGUCCGGAAUUAUUGGGCGUAAAGCGAGCGCAGGCGGUUUGAUAAGUCUGAAGUUAAAGGCUGUGGCUCAACCAUAGUUCGCUUUGGAAACUGUCAAACUUGAGUGCAGAAGGGGAGAGUGGAAUUCCAUGUGUAGCGGUGAAAUGCGUAGAGAUGUGGAGGAACACCAGUGGCGAAGGCGACUCUCUGGUCUGUAACUGACGCUGAGGAGCGAAAGCGUGGGGAGCGAACAGGAUUAGAUACCCCUGUAGUCCCUGUCUCUUAUACA